rnacentral:lncRNA from 1 species
UUUGUUAUGUUGGUUAAAACUCCAUUUGAGCCUUGGAAAUUGAUGAAAAGUUGGCAUGAAGUGUAGGGUGCAAAACAUGUACAUGUGAGAUUUCCAAAAUUGGCCAAAGUUCAAGCCCUUCUGUUUCAAUGAUGCAAGCUGCAAAUGACAAAAUCUUCAACCUAAACGUUGUAGAUCUUUUCAAGGCAAUCAAUUUGGACUUAAAUUUUGCAUCAUUUGGAUUUUUG